rnacentral:rRNA from 1 species
CACGUAGGGGGCGAGCGUUGUCCGGAUUUAUUGGGCGUAAAGAGCUCGUAGGCGGCUCGGUAAGUCGGGUGUGAAACCUCCAGGCUCAACCUGGAGACGCCACUCGAUACUGCCGUGGCUAGAGUCCGGUAGAGGAGCGUAGAAUUCCUGGUGUAGCGGUGAAAUGCGCAGAUAUCAGGAGGAAUACCAGCGGCGAAGGCGGCGCUCUGGGCCGGUAUUGACGCUGAGGCGCGAAAGCUAGGGGAGCAAACGGG